rnacentral:rRNA from 1 species
GACAGAGGGUGCAAACGUUGUUCGGAAUUACUGGGCGUAAAGCGCGUGUAGGCUGCUUGGAAAGUCGGAUGUGAAAGCCCUGGGCUCAACCUAGGAAGUGCAUUCGAAACUUCCAGCUGGAGUGCUGGAGAGGAAGGCGGAAUUCUCGGUGUAGAGGUGAAAUUCGUAGAUAUCGAGAGGAACACCGGUGGCGAAGGCGGCCUUCUGGACAGUAACUGACGCUGAGACGCGAAAGCGUGGGGAGCAAACAGG